CGAGCGGCGGACGGGUGAGUAAUGCUUGGGAACAUGCCUUGAGGUGGGGGACAACAGUUGGAAACGACUGCUAAUACCGCAUAAUGUCUACGGACCAAAGGGGGCUUCGGCUCUCGCCUUUAGAUUGGCCCAAGUGGGAUUAGCUAGUUGGUGAGGUAAUGGCUCACCAAGGCGACGAUCCCUAGCUGGUUUGAGAGGAUGAUCAGCCACACUGGGACUGAGACACG
rnacentral:rRNA from 1 species